AACGAACGUUAGCGGCGCGCCUAACACAUGCAAGUCGAACGAGAAAGGGCUUCGGCCCCGGUACAGUGGCGCACGGGUGAGUAACACGUAGGUAAUCUACCCUCGAGUGGUGGAUAACAUCCCGAAAGGGGUGCUAAUACAGCAUGAGACCACGGUUCCGCAAGGGACAGGGGUCAAAGCGGGGCCAAUUCAAGAAAGCUCGCGCUUGGGGAUGAGCCUGCGGCGCAUCAGCUAGUUGGUGGGGUAAUGGCCUACCAAGGCGUAGACGCGUAGCUGGUCUGAGAGGAUGAUCAGCCACACUGGAACUGAGACACGGUCCAGACUCCUACGGGAGGCUG
rnacentral:rRNA from 1 species